rnacentral:rRNA from 1 species
CCUACGGGUGGCAGCAGUGAGGAAUAUUGGUCAAUGGACGCACGUCUGCACCAGCCAUGCCGCGUGCAGGAAGACGGCUCUAUGAGUUGUAAACUGCUUUUAUACGAGGGUAAACUCAGAUACGCGUAUCUGUCUGAAAGUAUCUUACGAAUAAGGAUCGGCUAACUCCGUGCCAGCAGCCGCGGUAAUACGGAGGAUUCAAGCGUUAUCCGGAUUUAUUGGGUUUAAAGGGUGCGUAGUCGGUCUGAUAAGUUAGAUGUGAAAUUCCGAGGCUCAACUUCGGAAUUGCCUAUGAUACGGUUCGGCGAGAGAGUAUUUGAGGGAGGCGGAAUGUAUGGUGUAGCGGUGAAAUGCUUAGAGAUCAUACAGAACACCGAUUGCGAAGGCAGCUUACCAAGCUAUUUCUGACGUUGAGGCACGAAAGCGUGGGGAGCAAACAGGAUUAGAUACCCGAGUAGUC